UUGACCAUGUCAGCAGUGUUCAGGGUCGGG
rnacentral:piRNA from 1 species